UGAGGGUGAACUGGUUUGCAAUAUCUCAGGUUUGCAAUAUCUAACGGCCUGUAUUAUAAUUAUAGUAAUUUAUAGAAUAGUUUUACUAAAAGACUGGUAGUCGGUCUAGACUGGUAGUCAGAUUAGUUUUGAAGUCUUUAUCGGUAGGGUUGCAAUGUCCCACGGCGUGAAGCUGUAGUUAGUAUUUUAAGCCGUUGUAAAUUAGUAGUUAUUUGGAAUUGUGACGUUCCCGGUGGGAAAAGUAGUGGCUCGAAGAUUGUUAAAGUUUCAAAUUUAUUAGAACUUAUAGUUAAAAGAAUACUUACAAUUAUUUUAACAGCAUUGAUUUUUGAUUAUUGUGUUGACGAACUAGCCGAGGUGUUACAAGAGUGCCAUGAGAAUCAACUCCCCCUUCAACUCCCCAAAGACCUGUCAACCAGCAGUCUACAAAAAGGGGAGCUCGCCUGCUGCUCGCCGCCUUCCGCCUUCCGCCUUUCGCCUUCUGCAUUCACCUGUUCCUAUCAUGGCCCGGGGUCUUGUUCUGCUGUGUCCGUUCUCUCUCCACAUGUUACUCAUUUCUAUUAUAGAUUCCUCGCACUACUAGUACUACCUGUUCCCGAUAGAUCCUUCCAGAAUUAGGCUAUGGAGUUCCUUUCCUGAGGCAAUAUGACGGUGAUACCCACCCCACUUGCUCUGCCUGUCCUCACCUAAGCUCCACCAGUCGUAUUGCUUUAUUGAUUCCCCCCUCCUUCCUCGAGAACCGUUCGUCACUAUGUUAGAUCCUCGGGAUGACCAUGCAAGAUGGUUCAGUUCUAGUUGACAUUCCACUAUAUGAAAAGACCAGAUCGCCACUUUAUAUUCUUAUUCCUUGAGAGAGAGAGAGAGAGAACCGGAACAGCGACCUCGUGAAUCAUCCUAUUUAAUCGCUUGACCCUCACCACAUUUGCU